UACGGGGGGGCAAGCGUUGUUCGGAAUUACUGGGCGUAAAGGGCUCGUAGGCGGCCAACUAAGUCAGACGUGAAAUCCCUCGGCUUAACCGGGGAACUGCGUCUGAUACUGGAUGGCUUGAGAUUGGGAGAGGGAUGCGGAAUUCCAGGUGUAGCGGUGAAAUACGUAGAUAUCUGGAGGAACACCGGUGGCGAAGGCGGCAUCCUGGACCAACACUGACGCUGAGGAGCGAAAGCCAGGGAGCAAACGGG
rnacentral:rRNA from 1 species